GUAGGGUGCGAGCGUUAAUCGGAAUUACUGGGCGUAAAGCGUGCGCAGGCGGUUCGCUAAGACCGAUGUGAAAUCCCCGGGCUUAACCUGGGAACUGCAUUGGUGACUGGCGGGCUAGAGUAUGGCAGAGGGGGGUAGAAUUCCACGUGUAGCAGUGAAAUGCGUAGAGAUGUGGAGGAAUACCGAUGGCGAAGGCAGCCCCCUGGGCCAAUACUGACGCUCAUGCACGAAAGCGUGGGGGGGAGCAAACAGGAUUAGAUACCCUGGUAGUCCACGCCCUAAACGAUGUCAACUAGUUGUCGGGUCUUCAUUGACUUGGUAACGUAGCUAACGCGUGAAGUUGACCGCCCUGGGAGUACGGUCGCAAGAUUA
rnacentral:rRNA from 1 species